CCUACGGGAGGCAGCAGUGAGGAAUAUUGGUCAAUGGACGAAAGUCUGAACCAGCCAAGUAGCGUGAAGGAUGACUGCCCUAUGGGUUGUAAACUUCUUUUAUAAAGGAAUAAAACGAGGCACGUGUGCCUUUUUGCAUGUACUUUAUGAAUAAGGAUCGGCUAACUCCGUGCCAGCAGCCCCGGUCAUAAGGAGGAUCAGAUCGUUCUCCGGGUUUAUUGGGUUUAAAUGGAACGUAGAUGGGUUGUUCAGUCAGUUGUGAAAGUUUGCGGCUCAAACGUGGAAUUGCCAUUGAUACUGGGAGUCUUGAGUACAGGUGAGGUAGGCGGAAUUCGUGGUGUAGCGGUGAAAUGCUUAGAUAUCACGAAGAACCCCGAUUGCGAAGGCAGCUUACUAAACUGUGACUGACAUUGAUGCUCGAAAGUGUGGGUAUCAAACAGGAUUAGAUACCCGUGUAGUC
rnacentral:rRNA from 1 species